rnacentral:rRNA from 1 species
AGAGUUUGAUUCUGGCUCAGGAUGAACGCUAGCGAUAGGCUUAACACAUGCAAGUCGAGGGGCAGCAUGAAUUGUAGCAAUACAAUUGAUGGCGACCGGCGCACGGGUGAGUAACACGUAUGCAACCUACCUACCACAGGGGGAUAGCCCGUUGAAAGACGGAUUAAUACCCAUAAACAGGGCCCCCGCCUGGGGAUAUUUGUUAAAGAUUCAUCGGUGGUAGAUGGGCCUGCGUUCCAUUAGCUAGUUGGUAAGGUAACGGCUUACCAAGGCAACGAUGGAUAGGGGAACUGAGAGGUUUAUCCCCCACACUGGUACUGAGACACGGACCAGACUCCUACGGGAGGCAGCAGUGAGGAAUAUUGGUCAAUGGGCGAGAGCCUGAACCAGCCAAGUCCGCGUGAAGGAUGACGGUCUUAUGGAUUGUAAACUUCUUUUGUCGGGGAAUAAAAUGAGCCACGUGUGGUUUUUUGCAUGUACCCGACGAAUAAGCAUCGGCUAACUCCGUGCCAGCCGCCGC